rnacentral:rRNA from 1 species
AUUGAACGCUGGCGGCAUGCCUUACACAUGCAAGUCGAACGGUAACGGGUCCUUCGGGAUGCCGACGAGUGGCGAACGGGUGAGUAAUAUAUCGGAACGUGCCCAGUAGUGGGGGAUAACUGCUCGAAAGAGCAGCUAAUACCGCAUACGACCUGAGGGUGCAAGGGGGGGAUCGCAAGACCUCCCGCUAUUGGAGCGGCCGAUAUCAGAUUAGCUAGUUGGUGGGGUAAAGGCCUACCAAGGCAACGAUCUGUAGUUGGUCUGAGAGGACGACCAGCCACACUGGGACUGAGACACGGCCCAGACUCCUACGGGAGGCAGCAAUGGGGAAUUUUGGACAAUGGGCGCAAGCCUGAUCCAGCAAUGCCGCGUGCAGGAAGAAGGCCUUCGGGUUGUAAACUGCUUUUGUCAGGGAAGAAAUCUUCUGGGCUAAUACCCCGGGAGGAUGACGGUACCUGAAGAAUAAGCACCGGCUAACUACGUGCCAGCCGCCGCCGUAA